rnacentral:rRNA from 1 species
AAUCCCAAAAAUAACGUCUCAGUUCGGAUUGUAGUCUGCAACUCGACUACAUGAAGCUGGAAUCGCUAGUAAUCGCGAAUCAGAAUGUCGCGGUGAAUACGUUCCCGGGUCUUGUACACACCGCCCGUCACACCAUGGGAGUCGGAAAUGCCCGAAGUCAGUGACCCAACCGCAAGGAGGGAGCUGCCGAAGGUGGAGCCGGUAACUGGGGUGAAGUCGUAACAAGGUACC